rnacentral:tRNA from 1 species
GCCUAUAGCCUAGUGGUUAAGGUACAUGACUGGGACCCCUGAGGUUAGUGGUUCAAGUCAACAGCA